rnacentral:rRNA from 1 species
UACGUAGGGUGCAAGCGUUGUCCGGAAUUAUUGGGCGUAAAGAGCUUGUAGGCGGUUUGUCGCGUCUGCUGUGAAAUUUCGGGGCUCAACCCCGAACUUGCAGUGGGUACGGGCAGACUAGAGUGUGGUAGGGGGAGACUGGAAUUCCUGGUGUAGCGGUGAAAAUGCGCAGAUAUCAGGAGGAACACCGAUGGCGAAGGCAGGUCUCUGGGCCAUAACUGACGCUGAGAAGCGAAAAGCAUGGGGAGCGAAACAGG